rnacentral:pre_miRNA from 1 species
UAGUAUUGUUCUAAGUUAAACUUCUCUAUGUUUGACCAACUUUAUAGAAAAAUAUGUCAAUAUAUAUAGUAUGGAAAUAUACGUUAUGAUGAAUCCAAUGAAACUAAUUUGGUGUUGUAGAUGUUAAUAUAUUUUCCUAGAGACUUGAUCAAACUUAAAGAAGUUUGACUUAGGACAAAGCUAG